AGAGAAACAUAUCCACAGUUGGCUGCUCCAUGACGCCACGAACUACACCCUGGACUCCGCAAUGUGCUAUUGGCAUGUAGUGAACUCCUGUGGCGACUGGAGCACAAGUUGCAAGAAUAUGGUGUCGUCGCUCAGAUACGCCGGCAGUCCGCACGGCCUCAACAACGACUAUUACAAUCUGUAUGAAGGCACGUCCUACCGCGGAUAGGAGUUCAGAGGCGAUGAGGACGCCGCGCAAUUGGGCGACUUGGAUCUGGCCGUCUCGUCCCUGAUAGUGACUGGCCAGGCCCCGUGGACCUUCUAUUCAGGCCUGGACUUCACUCGCGCCACCGUCUGCGUGUACGCCGAUCAUACAACCACCAACGGCGGCAUUGACCUCGACUACGCAAGCAUCGCAAAUGUGAGCGAGCUCGGCCUGCCCGACAACUCCAUCAGGUCCGUGGCGCGCGGCUGCUUCAGCGAGCGCGUGGUGGGCGCUGCGCCGCGCAGCCACGCCGGCGGAGAACACGUCCAGCAGGACGCUAACUGAACUGAGGUGCCUCUGUGCCUUGUACCAAUACAUGCAUUUCCGGAAUUAACAGAUGUAUAUGCAUACAUUUUUCUCGUUUACUGCAUGAAGAAGAGUGGCGUGUUCUUUGUACUCAUCGAGACAGCAUUUGUGUGACGAUCUCGCUCCUUGCCCGUUAUUUCUUUAAGGUGGCCUGUAGUUUGUUGUACAAUGUCUUUUAGCUUUCCUUUUGUGACAAUUCCUAAAUAAUACUGCUGAGAAUA